UACGUAGGGUGCAAGCGUUAAUCGGAAUUACUGGGCGUAAAGCGUGCGCAGGCGGUUGUGCAAGACCGAUGUGAAAUCCCCGGGCUUAACCUGGGAAUGGCAUUGGUGACUGCACGGCUAGAGUGUGUCAGAGGGGGGGUAGAAUUCCACGUGUAGCAGUGAAAUGCGUAGAGAUGUGGAGGAAUACCGAUGGCGAAGGCAGCCCCCUGGGAUAA
rnacentral:rRNA from 1 species